AUACCUUUCUCGGCCUUUUGGCUAAGAUCAAGUGUAGUAUCUGUUCUUAUCAGUUUAAUAUCUGAUACGUGGGUCAUGUACCCACUUCGAUAUUAAAUUUAUUUUUUGUGGGGGAGGGUCCACCACAGUGGCUUGCCACUGGGCCCCUCGAGCGUCGUUCGGGCGUUGCACUAUACAGCCCGAGCCUGGCGCGCCCCAA
rnacentral:snRNA from 2 species